rnacentral:rRNA from 1 species
AUGGCUACACCCACACCCUUCAAGUUCUUCGCGUCCGACGACCGUCAGGUGGGGCACCUGCUCGCCGCCGUCGAUGCGGCGGCGUCCCGGUGCACGGCGGCGGCGCAGCGCCUCGAGGCCGCGGCGACCAACGAGGCCAAGCUGAAGGGGAAGGGGGAGGCGGCCGAUGCCGACGCGGCGCGCGCCACCAAGCUCGCCGCCGAGCAGCUCGCCUCCGCCGCCGAGGAGGUCGCCGUCGCCAAGAAGACGCUCGCCGUCGUGACUCACGCGGUCGCCAAGGCCGCCCUGGCAGACGCAUCUUCAGCCACCAAUGCGCUCGUGGAUCUGCUCGAGAAGGACGGCCACACCCCCGCCCAAGUCGCCGCCGCCACUGCAACCGCAGCUAAGGUCCUUCUCGCCAUCGCCGACAAGCAGGCGCUGGCCUCUGCCGCUCGCGCCGAUGCGGUCUCCGCUGCCAACUUCGCCAAGGCUGCCACCUCCUUCGCAGCGUCCCCGACAGACUUCUACGUCUUUUCCUGGGAGUGCGUUGAGCCAUCCAACAUCAACCAGCAAGAAGGUCCAGCUCCUAGCAAGGAGAGAAGAGAUGGGAGAAACAGCUACUUGGAGGCGCUCAUUGGGGGCAGCGGUGGGGGAGGUCCGAGGGGGCAGAUCAUUGCAGUGGCAGCUCGCCUCGUCAACAGGGAAAUGGCCAAACAUGGCCAAGUUAUGUCGAUCAACAAUAUUGCAGAAAUCUUGAGGUCGCCGAUUGAUGUCGGGUCACCUCAACUCAAGGCCAUAUUGCCCCAUCUCGUUACCAUUGCUCCUCAGCUCCCCAUCCCCGAGCAGCUCCUUCCCGAGCUGCUUCUGCCCUCGCAGCUGCCAGCCAUACCUCAAGUCUUGCUUCCGCCGGCCUUCCAGGCAGCUUCCGAGGUCGCCAAGGAGGUCCAGCCGACGGUGAAACGGGGUGGGUGGAAGGACAUCAACGUGGGAAACGCAAUCGUGACUACUGCAAUCGGAUGGUGCGUCGGCAUGGGGCUGGAUGCGGCCUACGAGGAGGUCAAAGACUACCGCCCUGAUUUCUCCAAGCUGGGACAGUUCUCACUGGACGAGACCCCCGAGCCUCAGGCUAGUGGUAAGAACUUUGAGUAG